CAAGUCGAACGGCAGCACGGGGGCAACCCUGGUGGCGAGUGGCGAACGGGUGAGUAACGCAUCGGAACGUGCCCAGUAGUGGGGGAUAACCAGUCGAAAGAUUGGCUAAUACCGCAUACGACCUACGGGUGAAAGCGGGGGAUCGCAAGACCUCGCGCUACUGGAGCGGCCGAUGUCUGAUUAGCUAGUUGGUGGGGUAAAGGCUCACCAAGGCGACGAUCAGUAGCUGGUCUGAGAGGACGACCAGCCACACUGGGACUGAGACACGGCCCAGACUCCUACGGGAGGCAGCAGUGGGAAAUUUUGGACAAUGGGCGAAAGCCUGAUCCAGCCAUGCCGCGUGCGGGAAGAAGGCCUUCGGGUUGUAAACCGCUUUUGGCAGGAACGAAACGGUGCCGACAAAUACUCGGCGCUAAUGACGGUACCUGCAGAAUAAGCACCGGCUAACUACGUGCCAGCAGCCGCGGUAAUACGUAGGGUGCAAGCGUUAAUCGGAAUUACUGGGCGUAAAGCGUGCGCAGGCGGCUAUGCAAGACAGGUGUGAAAUCCCCGGGCUCAACCUGGGAACUGCAUUUGUGACUGCAUGGCUAGAGUUUGUCAGAGGGGGGUGGAAUUCCACGUGUAGCAGUGAAAUGCGUAGAGAUGUGGAGGAACACCGAUGGCGAAAGCAGCCCCCUGGGACCUGACUGACGCUCAUGCACGAAAGCGUGGGGAGCAAACAGGAUUAGAUACCCUGUAGUCCACGCCCUAAACGAUGUCGACUAGUUGUCGGAGAUUCACUUCUUCGGUAACGCAGCUAACGCGUGAAGUCGACCGCCUGGGGAGUACGGUCGCAAGAUUAAAACUCAAAGGAAUUGACGG
rnacentral:rRNA from 1 species